UCGGGAAUCUUAGACAAUGGGGGAAACCCUGAUCUAGCCAUGCCGCGUGAGUGACGAAGGCCCUAGGGUCGUAAAGCUCUUUCGCUGGGGAAGAUAAUGACGGUACCCAGUAAAGAAACCCCGGCUAACUCCGUGCCAGCAGCCGCGGUAAUACGGAGGGGGUUAGCGUUGUUCGGAAUUACUGGGCGUAAAGCGCGCGUAGGCGGACUGUUAAGUCGGGGGUGAAAUCCCGGGGCUCAACCCCGGAACUGCCUUCGAUACUGGCAGUCUUGAGUUCGAGAGAGGUGAGUGGAAUUCCGAGUGUAGAGGUGAAAUUCGUAGAUAUUCGGAGGAACACCAGUGGCGAAGGCGGCUCACUGGCUCGAUACUGACGCUGAGGUGCGAAAGCGUGGGGAGCAAACAGGAUUAGAUACCCCCGUAGUCC
rnacentral:rRNA from 1 species